GGGUUGUGAGGUUAAGCGACUAAGCGUACACGGUGGAUGCCCUGGCAGUCAGAGGCGAUGAAGGGCGUGCUAAUCUGCGAUAAGCGCCGGUAAGGUGAUAUGAACCGUUAUAACCGGCGAUACCCGAAUGGGGAAACCCAGUGUGAUUCGUCACACUAUCAUUAACUGAAUCCAUAGGUUAAUGAGGCGAACCGGGGGAACUGAAACAUCUAAGUACCCCGAGGAAAAGAAAUCAACCGAGAUUCCCCCAGUAGCGGCGAGCGAACGGGGAGGAGCCCAGAGCCUGAAUCAGCAUGUGUGUUAGUGGAAGCGUCUGGAAAGGCGCGCGAUACAGGGUGACAGCCCCGUACACAAAAGCGCAUGUGCUGUGAGCUCGAUGAGUAGGGCGGGACACGUGGUAUCCUGUCUGAAUAUGGGGGGACCAUCCUCCAAGGCUAAAUACUCCUGACUGACCGAUAGUGAACCAGUACCGUGAGGGAAAGGCGAAAAGAACCCCGGCGAGGGGAGUGAAAAAGAACCUGAAACCGUGUACGUACAAGCAGUGGGAGCACAGGUUUACCUGUGUGACUGCGUACCUUUUGUAUAAUGGGUCAGCGACUUAUAUUCUGUAGCAAGGUUAACCGAAUAGGGGAGCCGGAGGGAAACCGAGUCUUAAUUGGGCGUUAAGUUGCAGGGUAUAGACCCGAAACCCGGUGAUCUAGCCAUGGGCAGGUUGAAGGUUGGGUAACACUAACUGGAGGACCGAACCGACUAAUGUUGAAAAAUUAGCGGAUGACCUGUGGCUGGGGGUGAAAGGCCAAUCAAACCGGGAGAUAGCUGGUUCUCCCCGAAAGCUAUUUAGGUAGCGCCUCGUGAACUCAUCUCCGGGGGUAGAGCACUGUUUCGGCUAGGGGGCCAUCCCGGCUUACCAACCCGAUGCAAACUGCGAAUACCGGAGAAUGUUAUCACGGGAGACACACGGCGGGUGCUAACGUCCGUCGUGAAGAGGGAAACAACCCAGACCGCCAGCUAAGGUCCCAAAGUCAUGGUUAAGUGGGAAACGAUGUGGGAAGGCCCAGACAGCCAGGAUGUUGGCUUAGAAGCAGCCAUCAUUUAAAGAAAGCGUAAUAGCUCACUGGUCGAGUCGGCCUGCGCGGAAGAUGUAACGGGGCUAAACCAUGCACCGAAGCUGCGGCAGCGACACUGUGUGUUGUUGGGUAGGGGAGCGUUCUGUAAGCCUGUGAAGGUGGCCUGUGAGGGUUGCUGGAGGUAUCAGAAGUGCGAAUGCUGACAUAAGUAACGAUAAAGCGGGUGAAAAGCCCGCUCGCCGGAAGACCAAGGGUUCCUGUCCAACGUUAAUCGGGGCAGGGUGAGUCGACCCCUAAGGCGAGGCCGAAAGGCGUAGUCGAUGGGAAAC
rnacentral:rRNA from 1 species